GACGAACGCUGGCGGCGUGCUUAACACAUGCAAGUCGAGCGGAAAGGCCCUUCGGGGUACUCGAGCGGCGAACGGGUGAGUAACACGUGGGUAACCUGCCUUCAGCUCUGGGAUAAGCCCGGGAAACUGGGUCUAAUACUGGAUAUGACGCAUCACCGCAUGGUGUGUGUGUGGAAAGUUUUUUCGGCUGAAGAUGGACUCGCGGCCUAUCAGCUUGUUGGUGGGGUAGUGGCCUACCAAGGCGAUGACGGGUAGCCGGCCUGAGAGGGCGACCGGCCACACUGGGACUGAGACACGGCCCAG
rnacentral:rRNA from 1 species